CCAGUAUUCUUGCCUGGAGAAUCCCAGGGAUGGGGCAGCCUGGUGGGCUGCCGUCUACGGGGUUGCACAGAGUCGGACAUGACUGAAGCGACUUAGCAGCAGCAGCAGCAGGGAGGAAGCUGUGACUUGCCCUAGGGCACCCACAUUAGAGCCAAGACUAAAAAAAAAAAAUCAGAUCAUUUUGUGAUAUCAUCUUGGGAUGGAUUCCUAAACUUCCCCAAGUCAGAUAACGCAUGUUUUUGGACUUUUGAUCUGUUCUGCCAAAUGGCCCCUGAGUCAGUCAAGCCCCCUGCCCCUCCCUACUGGCAGUGUAAAGGCCCACUGGCUUCUCAAGUCCUCACUGCUAAGGGCUCUUAGCUCUUUUCAACUCAGCCCCUGUGAGGCCAUUCCUCCAAAAUAUAUAUUAAAAAGAAAAAUUCAGAAAGCAUUAAUACUAACUAGCCUGUUAGCCUUGUACUAGCAGAUGUACAGUAUGUGUCUGUUGAGUUGAACUGCAGAGACAGCACCAAGUGGACACACGCCUACCCGGAGCAGAACAGUCUUGCUGGGAGUGCAGCUUUUGCCCAUCUUCCCUCCCUGGAGCCAGGUGGGCAGAGGUACAGGCACCUGAUGGCCACAGUGUGGCCAGGCCUGGGGAGGGAACCUUUACACAACUUUGCCCUCUUCCACCACAUUGCUUUUCUUUGCAGAAAUGCUGCUGAGGCGGGGCCUGGCUGCUCCCUCAUCCCCCUAUCUCUUCCCCUGAGACAUCUGAAUACACUGAGAGUGGCAGGAAUGCAGCAGGGCCUCACUGGAAUUCAUCUCUCACCAGCCUGUGAACUGCUGUUUCGGAUGUCGUCCCUGAGCAGGGAACCCUACCUGUGGCUCCAGGAUGGGGCUGUGCUGGCCUGACCGCUUUGUAAUAAAGCUCUCCUACAGGGCUUUAUAGUGUCCAGGACACUUUGACAUGAAGGAACUCCUUUGAUCCUUCUGCAACAUGUAAAUUGGGCUGAGCGAGAGUAUCAUUAUCUGCAUUUUACAGAUGGGGAAAUUUGAGGCUCUGAUUAAAAUGAUGGUUCAGUUUCACAUUGCUGCAAGUCAAGAUUUCUGUCACCUUAUUGGGAAUUCCCUGGUGGCCCAGUGGUUAGAACUCAGCACUUGGGACUGCUGUGGGCCCAGGUUCAGCCCUUGGUCGGGGAAGAAAGAUGCUGCAAGCUGUGUAGCAUGGCCUCACCCACCCCUCCUCCAAAAAAAAAAAAAAAGACUUCUGUAGCUUUGCCUACUAAUUAUCUUAAGUACAUACUCUGUGGGGUUCUUUGGCCAAGUUACGUCACUCAUUCCUCACAAAACUCUCGCAGGUGUGUUAGGUAGUUAGAAAAGGGAAAAGGAGUCCAGAAUGGUGGUAGCUAAAAGAUGAGCUAAAAGAGAAGAGAAAAGCCCGCGAAAAUAGAACAAAGGAAGGUCCGAGGACCGGAGUGAGGACCUCAGGUAAAACAACACUCCUGGCUGGCCCAAUUUACAUAGGACAGGCCCAGGGAGAGAAAAACAGAUAAAAAGAGGAGCUGAAGCUAGCUCGCUCGCUGUCUCUCCCCCGGGCGCUGGGGCGCUCUUCUCUUCGCGUCUUUGGGUCGACAUGGCCUCACGCCUGGAUGAUGGAUUUUCCUGCUAUUAUCUAAAUAAAAUUAAGACCUGUAACACUGAUUUGUCUAAGAGCUAUAAGACGGUCUGCUCGAGACCUGAGAGCUACAUCACGGUCUAAGACCCGAGAGCUGUGAACCGCAGAGGGGGCUUUAAUGUCCGUCACUCCAAAUCUUGGUUGUGACGAGACAGAACCGAGGAGCAUACACUCGCGUGACAUUCUAUGGUGUCGUGACUCGGGUUUAACCUGGCUUAAACAACCUCCACGGAAGACGCCAAGCACAGCAGAAGCCCAACUCAGCGAAAGCUCCCGCGGUAGAAGCGGACCGCGAAGAAAACCCAGCACAAGGGAAGUGACAAGAGGCCCAGUGCUGCAAACCCGGCAGCAAAAGCGAACUCAGCAGAAAGCUCACGCGGCUCAGCCUCAGAUUCCAGAAGACCUCCGGUUAAGCUCUCUCUCCCGGGACUUGAGCCCGACCAAAACCCAGGAUGCCCGACUUCAGGACCUAAUGAAGCUCAGGCUGUGAUGUCUCGUUGCAAAAAUUCAGCGAGAGACAAAGCGAUAGAUGGGAAAUAACCAAUCCACUUCCCAGCAGACGUCCUUGAAAUGCAUCCUUGAUAACUGGAAGCUGUUCGAUCCUCUAACUCUAAGGAGAAGUCGCUUAAAAUUCUUUUAUGCCACUGCAUGGCCACAGUAUCCACUGGGGGACGAGGAACACUGGCCUGAGGAUGGGACUUUAAAUUACAAUAUCAUCCUGCAGCUAGAAUUAUUCUGCAAAAGACAAGGGAAAUGGACAGAGAUCCCCUAUGUCCAAAUUUUCUUCCAACUAAGAGAUAUGAAGGAACUCUGUCUUAGGUAUGGGAUUGUUGUACGCCCUAAAAGUGAGCCUACUAGGCAAAUGGUGUUAGGCACAGGCAACCAAGAAAAGGAACCCCCUCGUGAAGGCUCACCUGCCACAGCUCCCGAGUUACCUGGUGCUCCUUCCUUAUAUCCAAACGUGCCCCCAUACCCGGGAGCACCUCCUCCACAAAAGCCAGCUCGAGUAUGUCCCUUAGUUGAAACUGGAGGAGAAUUCGGACCAACUGGGUCCAUAAGCCCUUCUCCCUCUUAGAACUAAGACAGAUCAAACAAGACCUGGGAAGCUAUACAGAUGACCCAGGCAAAUAUAUAGAUACAUUCCAACAUAUUACCUUGGCCUUUGACUUGACAUGGAAAGACAUCAUGGUCAUAUUUAGUCAAAUUUUAUCUGACCCUGAACAUCCUAGGGUCUUAAAGGAAGCCUGGAGGUAUGCAACAGGGCUUCACAUGUCCAGUGGCAGAUACCCAGUAGGGGAAACUGCAGUCCCCUCCUCCAAUCCUAAUUGGAAUUAUAAUGACCCUGAGCACAUCUGGGAAAGGGAUCAUUUUCUAAUCUGUGUGAAGGCAGGACUGAAAGCAGCCCAACAAAAAGUAAUUAGCUAUGCCCGGGUCUCAGCAAUAA